UGAACCUGGAGAUUGCAUCCCACCACAUAUAGAUAGUCAUGAUUUUGUUCGGCCAUUUUGUACCGUUUCUUUCCUCAGUGAAUGCAACAUUCUUUUUGGAUCUACUCUGAAAAUAGCUGGCCCUGGAGAAUUCACCGGUUCAACUGCGAUUCCCCUCCCUGUCGGGUCCGUGCUUGUCCUGAAUGGCAAUGGUGCUGAUGUAGCAAAGCAUUGUGUUCCAGCAGUCCCGACCAAAAGGAUAUCCAUUACCUUCAGAAGAAUGGACCCAGCAAAGCGUCCAUUCAGUUUUAAAGAUGAUCCAGAACUGCUUAACAUUACACCUCUAGGGACGGCAGUACAAGAAGCUGGCAGAUCUUCGGACGAAGGCAAGAGCAAGGUACCUGAUGCGCAGAUUAGAAAUCUGAGCAAAAUAUCCAGAGGCAAGAGAUCUAAAGGACGAACAUCUGCUGGAAAGACUGGAUGGGACAUUCUGGGAGACCAACCACCUGGGUAUGCAAAUUCCCCUGCAGUAGAUGUGUUGUCACAACAAAGCUUGCCUGGCCAGCGCACCGUCUCUGCUGCAAGUGCUGAGAGAGAAAGGAACUCUGCUGGGAGGUCAAGAGAAUCAAGAUAUCAAUCAAAUGCGCCUGGUAUGCAAUCUCAGGUGGAAGAUAUCAGAG